rnacentral:rRNA from 1 species
GACGAACGCUGGCGGCGUGUCUAAUACAUGCAAGUAGAACGAGUUGCGAACGGGGGAGUAACGCGUGUUAAACUGCCUCAUCGCGGGGGAUAACUACUGGAAACGGUAGCUAAUACCGCAUACCAUCGGAUGUGCCCCGAUGGGAUUAGCUAGUAGGUUGGGUAACGGCUUACCUAGGCGACGAUCCCUAUCUGGUCUGAGAGGAUGACCAGCCACACUGGAACUGAGACACGGUCCAGACUCCUACGGGAGGCAGCAGUGGGGAAUAUUGGGCAAUGGGGGCAAGCCUGAUGCAGCCAUGCCGCGUGUAUGAAGAAGGCCUUCGGGUUGUAAAGUACUUUCAGCGAGGAGGCGUUACUCGCAGAAGAAGCACCGGCUAACUCCGUGCCAGCAGCCGCGGUAAUAC